UCGAAUAUCAACAGAAGCAGAUAUAUGUGGGAGGAUACAGAACUUUCCUGGACCUCUCCCAUGGCCAGGCAGGUAUGGGAUGGGGUGCACUGUUGUACGAUGCCCUCCCAAUAUUGCACUCGUCCCGGCCUCCCAGACCUUGGGGACUCCACCACCUGGGUCUUCCUGUUAGCUGUGGAUGGAGUAGGCUACUGACUUUACCAAGCUCUUAUGCAGAAGAACAGAAUUCCUUCGACUGAGAGCUAAAUAGGAGUAUACAAAUGGACUCAUGUCACUGGACACCAAGGGAAUUCAUUCAGUAGGGUUAGAACCCCUCUGCUCCUGCACUGUCCCCUCCUGACCACUGGCUGGCUGCCACCGGAGAGUACAAUGCCAAUUCCACUAGAGCUGGGUUCCAAUUUGAUCACUCCUUCCUUUCCCUCUGGUCCUGGUAAAAGUAACCAACACGUUGUAAUAGUGGACUGCACAGCAACACUUCUCAUACAAGACAACUGCCUGCAUUGGCACAUUAUUAGGAGCAUCUGUUCUCUCUGAGGAAACAUAAGUGUACAGCAAGGAAGCACAUUUUCAGAUUGGAAUCCAGCCAGUGUUGUCCAUGAUGUGCAAUGUGCUAUGAGAACAGGGGUCAAUAACUGCACAUCUAUUCACCAACACAAGCUGUGACCUCUUUGCUUCAUUGAGGGGAUCCAAAGACACUGCUCACAGCAGGGAAGUUGGACUUCAAAUAUGUCACCGUAUAUUUCAUGCCUCAUUGGUGUACUUUGCUGCCGUCUGUACAUUUAAAUGUGAGCUUGAGAGACAUAUAGAAAACAGAUAUUCGGAAUAGUUUUAUUAUGCAGGCCUUUAACAAUAUUGAUUAACCAGCACAGGAAUACACUAAAUACAUUCUUACAUUCUUUAGCAUAGACAGGUGCAUUGAUCUUCCUGUGUGACAGUGUUGUACAAUCAUUUUGGCUAAAAUGAGGUUUAGGGUUCGAAUCCAAGGCUCUUUUAAAUAUAAUGUGAGAGCAAAGUGGGCCAUCCCAUAGAAAUAAGAUAACGAGCAUGUACACAGGGCCAAUUUGCACGGAUACAGACACAUUUCUGUCUUGCCAGACAGUAUAGUAAUGUAGUCUGUCUCUUGCAUGUUGGGGUGUUCACUGGUUCAUGCAAUGGCCGAGACAUAAAGUUUUUAAAUUUA